GAUGAACGCUGGCGGCGUGCUUAACACAUGCAAGUCGAACGGAAAGGCUCCUGCUUGCAGGGGUACUCGAGUGGCGAACGGGUGAGUAACACGUGGGUGAUCUGCCCUGCACUUCGGGAUAAGCCUGGGAAACUGGGUCUAAUACCGGAUAGGACGAUGGUUUGGAUGCCAUUGUGGAAAGUUUUUCGGUGUGGGAUGAGCUCGCGGCCUAUCAGCUUGUUGGUGGGGUAAUGGCCUACCAAGGCGUCGACGGGUAGCCGGCCUGAGAGGGUGUACGGCCACAUUGGGACUGAGAUACGGCCCAGACUCCUACGGGAGGCAGCAGUGGGGAAUAUUGCACAAUGGGCGCAAGACUGAUGCAGCGACGCCGCGUGGGGGAUGACGGCCUUCGGGUUGUAAACUCCUUUCGCUAGGGACGAAGCGCAAGUGACGGUACCUGGAGAAGAAGCACCGGCUAACUACGUG
rnacentral:rRNA from 1 species